rnacentral:rRNA from 1 species
UACGUAGGGGGGCUAGCGUUGUCCGGAAUCAUUGGGCGUAAAGCGCGUGUAGGCGGUCCGGUAAGUCCGCUGUGAAAGUCGGGGGCUCAACCCUCGGAUGCCGGUGGAUACUGUCGGGCUUGAGUACGGAAGAGGCGAGUGGAAUUCCUGGUGUAGCGGUGAAAUGCGCAGAUAUCAGGAAGAACACCCGUGGCGAAGGCGGCUCUCUGGGACGGUACUGACGCUGAGACGCGAAAGCGUGGGGAGCGAACAGG